rnacentral:lncRNA from 1 species
UAAUUCUGGAUAUUUUUGUCUUGUUCUUGACUUUUAGGUGAAUGCUUCAAAUACUCCAAGUUUGUGAAGAUUUUCUUCUUUUUAUAAAUAUCCACCAUCAGAUAUUUAAUCAGAGGAGCCAGGAAGGCAUUUUGGGAGAGGAGAUGGUACUGAUUGUAAGGGUCCUAUGGCAACACAGCCCUACAGAUGAGAUGAGUGGUCCACAAGCCUAGGUACUCUUAAGACAGUUUUCUGUUGUCCACUUUCUAUUCUUUUACGAUAUAGGAUUAGACAGGAAAAAGAAGGAAGGCUGGGAAACCUUGGGAGAAGUACAAGAG